rnacentral:lncRNA from 13 species
UCUGCCCCCUACAAACAUCAGUCCUAUCAGUGCAGUCCAACUAACCAGACCGUGCCUCUUUCCCCUUACAGAGUGAACAUCCUUCUUCUUCACCCUGGAUUCCAAUUCAUCCUUGUGUGCAGAGAAGGAUGAAGAAAGAGGAGCUUCAGGUCUUCUGGGAGCCAGCGUCCAUUCAUUCAUGGAGUACCGAGCCAGGCCACAUGCCAGGCACUGGGACCAUGAGAUGACUCUUACCAGUCCUCGUCUUCAAGGAGUUCACAACCUAUAGAGGAAGAGAGCUUUUUGCCUCCAAUUCUGGCUCAUAUUAACAUUGCUCAAAUAUUUGCCAAGAAUGGAUUCUUUUCUGUCCCUUUAUUUCAGAUUUUCUCUGUCACAUGUAAGACUUUCGCAUACUUUACCCACAGAACCUGUGAAUCUUUUAUGUACAAUAAAACCUUGAAUCUUUCUCAUUAUUGUUGCCUAGACUUUUGUUCUAGACAUUAUUAUUGUUUAGUAAUUAUAUAGUAAUAAAAGAGCACUACUUAGAAAUUUAUUAAAUUUA